rnacentral:lncRNA from 1 species
CAGACCACUGAUUGUUCUGCUGACAGGUGAUAACUCUCUCCCCCACCAGCUCAAAGGCCGCCGGGCAUUCAAAGGCUGGGAGCCAUCAUGGCUGACUCACUAUGAUCUCAGGCUCCUGGGCUCAAGUGAUCUUUCGACCUCAGCCCCUGGAGUGGCUGGGACAACAGACAGCAAAUUUAACCAAGGUAAAUUUCAGCACCUUGAUUCACGUAUAUUGACAUUGAGGUGAAGAACUAUGACCUGUUAGAAUAAAACUGAUCAAAGAUGACCACAAAAGAUUUUAGUGUCUACCAUCUCUAAAAGGAACAUCACUUUUCAAAUCAAUUAAUGGAAAAGGAAGCUGGAGACUGUCCACCUGCUCUUUCCCUCAAUUGCCUCCUCUCCUCCUUCAAUGUCAUCUUAAGUGACUUCUCCUUAUUAAACACCAGGACAGAUGAAGAUACAAGGCAAUAUAAUUUUUUAUUUAUGUUUUUAUUUCUUGACACUGCCACUUUCAAGGUGAGAUGCCAUAAUUAACUUUUUAAAAACUUGUCAACUUACUUUAUUUUUCUUACAUUACAAACCACUAAGUCAAAUUAUUGUGCUAAACUUUAUAGUUUACUAAAAUGUAGGCCUGACAUAAACUAAUUGGUGCUAAGUUAUAUUUAAUGGGUUGUGCCCAGUUAGUUUCCUCAUGUUCCAAAUCACUGGAUGUAUUAGUCCAUAUUUGUACUACUAUAAGGAACUGCUCAAGACUGGGUAGUUUAUAAAGGAAAGAGGUUUAAUUGACUCACAGUUCAGCUGGGGAGGCCUCAGGAAACUUACAAUCGUGGUGGAAGGUAAAGGGGAAGCAAAGUGCCUUCUUCACAAGGCGGCAUGAAGGAGAGGAAUGCAGGGGGAAUUACCAAACACUUAUAAAACCAACACAUCUCAUGAGAACUCACUCACUAUCACGACAGCAGCAUAGUGGAAACCAUCCCCAUGAUUCGAUCACUCUACUUGGCCUCUCCUUUGACACAAGAAGAUUAUGGGGAUCAUAGGGACUAAAAAUCAAGAUGAGAUUUUGGGUGCAGACUCAGCCAAACUAUAUCACUGAAUAAGCAUAACAAGAACUGGUCAGAUUUUAUUUUGCUUUGAGAUUUUCAAGGCCAGCCUACUUCAUCGCAAACCACAAAAUGACACAAAUAAAAUCAGAAGUGCAAACUGAAGUCCUGGAAAUGAAUCAGUACUGAUUUUUCUUCAAGUCAAAACUUCUCAUAAAAAGAUGGUCCCUGUCUCCUAUUUAAUAAUAACUAAUCAUAAAAAUUUAACAAUAUGUAAU